rnacentral:piRNA from 1 species
UAAGGUUGUCUUUUCUCUCAGGAUAGGG